UACGAAGGGGGCUAGCGUUGUUCGGAAUUACUGGGCGUAAAGGGCGCGCAGGCGGCCCUCCAAGUCAGGCGUGAAAGCCCCGGGCUCAACCCGGGAAUAGCGCUUGAGACUGGGGGGCUUGAGUUCGGGAGAGGAGAGUGGAAUUCCCAGUGUAGAGGUGAAAUUCGUAGAUAUUCGCAAGAACACCAGUGGCGAAGGCGGCUCACUGGCCCGGUACUGACGCUGAUGCGCGAAAGCUAGGGGAGCAAACAGG
rnacentral:rRNA from 1 species